rnacentral:rRNA from 1 species
UUCACCUACGGGGCGCAGCAGUGGGGAAUAUUGGGCAAUGGGCGCAAGCCUGACCCAGCAACGCCGCGUGAAGGAAGAAGGCUUUCGGGUUGUAAACUUCUUUUAUGAGGGACGAAAGAAAUGACGGUACCUCAUGAAUAAGCCACGGCUAACUACGUGCCAGCAGCCGAGGUAAUACGUAGGUGGCAAGCGUUAUCCGGAUUUACUAGGUGUAAAGGGCGUGUAGGCGGGACUGGCAGUCAGAUGUGAAAAUUAUGGGCUCAACCCAUAACCU